AAUGGAGUGCCUGAAAAAAAAAGGAUUACUUUGAUAGAGUAAAUCAUGUAAAUUUUUACCUUCAUUA
rnacentral:tRNA from 1 species